UGUCAACAUGAAAUGAUGACAAAUCAGGCGGGGAUGUACUAGCAGUUGAAAACAGUAAGGAGGAAAGCAAAGUAGAGGCAAGUUAGGAAGAAUGAACUAUACCUAAAACUCCGGCAGCCUAUGCCAUCCUGGUGGAAAAUGACUUUGACAAUAUAAUAGGGCUGAAGACUCAAAUUCCAUAGGAACCUUUCAAAAGUUGAUCUGAGAGUACUUGGAAAAGCUAGUCCGUCAUCUUUUCCUGUGCAUGGGACACAGCUGGGAUCACCACAGAUCCAGCUGAGCACCCAGCACUCCCACACAGCCUGUGAUGCCAGGCUCUGACCUUUGCACAGGCUGUGCUACCUCUCUGCCUGCUGCAGCUGGCUGGCACCUCUGAGGAAGCUGCCACGUCACACCUCGCUGGAGUCGGGGAGAGCGUGGCAUGCAAAAAUGGAUUUAAAAGGAAGUGCUCUCCAUUAACCCAACCUGAUGAGACAUAUCCUCUUGGUUCACAUGGUGGAAGAUUACAGUGAUGUACACCAUCCACCCAUGAGAAGUACCAGGCCAGUUGGCUGCUGCACACUUACAGAUCUGAAGAAGAGAAAGCUCCCAGCAACCUGCCAAGUGUGCCAUUCAACUCUGAAGUGCUGGUUUGGAGGGCAAUGGCUUGAGGUGGUGAAUUGAAAGCGGUGUGAGGCAGGUGCAGAAUCCCUUUGAACUCAAGAAGUAAAGAAGACCUUUUUCUAUCAAAAACUUGGUCAACUCAUUAUCAAGUACCAAUACUGAGAAAAAUUACCAAACAACACAAAUAAAUAUAUUGGCAGAUUUCAGAA